CGGACCUCAGAUCAGACAAGACCACCCGCU
rnacentral:rRNA from 2 species